CGAUGAAGUGAGCUGUAGCUCACGAAAGCUUAUGCUCAAAAUAAAUUUGUUAGUCUCUAAGGUGCCACAAGUACUCCUUUUCUUUUUGCAGAUACAGACUAACAUGGCUGCUACUCUGAAACAUGUAAUUUAGACAGACCUCCUGGGCUGUCUAAAUUAUGCCAGGGGCUACUCCAGUUCUAGAGCAGUCGAGGACUGGGAGGAUGCAAAGGUGGCUUUAAAACCACACUACCUUCCCCUUCCCUGGGCUGGGAGUUCUGUGCUGAGCCUGUAAGAGGGGCAGCAUAAAAUCUUACCAUUAAUUGAGGUGCGUGGAAAGAUUUUUUGUGCUGAUAGGCACUGAAAAUUCAAUGUCCUGUCAAGGAUGCAUCACAUUGAGGGUUACCUUGAGAACGAGUCAAACAUUUGAGGCCAUCAGUAACAACCAUCCUUAACAUAGUAGUAGCUGAUAAGGACAGGAGCAUACAGUUAAUUCUGUUUCUCCCUCUUUCUCCUCAAACAAACACCAAGAGCAUGAGGUUUUGGAGUGAAAGACAUUCAUGUGUUUUCCUGAACAAUUAUUUGCAAGUGUUGCUAUAAUGCUCAGCAUUGUAGUAUAUAAGGACGCUUCCAGUAGCAGACAGAAGAGGCUCUGAUGAAAAGUUAAAAAAACCCUAACUCCAUAGGGCUAAAUUCCAUCCUUAGAUGUGCAACUCCAGCCCAAAAGUUCCAACCCUCUGAAACCUGUAUAAUAAAAUAGUUGGGAUAUUUAAGUUCAGUUCUUAGUGGAUAUGUUUUCAGCUUCAUGCCACCAUUGCAACUGGCACUCAAGUGUCAGUAGAAAGGAAAGAACUGAAUUUAUGUGGGGACUGAAUUGCUGCUACAGGGGAUCCCUUCAGGUUCUUAGGGAGAUACUAGCAAUGCCACCUACUUUUAGUACACUGAUACCUGUUCUAGGUGGGAAAGGAUUUCAUUCUCUGGUCUAUGCACCAUCUCAUCCAAGUGCUAAACUCAUCGUAAACUUAAUAUGUCAACACAUACUAUGUCCUAGGGCUUUUUGUCCUUUCUCUGCUGUCUUUCUGGACUGCUACUAGAAAAUUUAGUUCCAGCAUCUUUCUUUUAAUGUAGUAAGUGUGGACAUCACACAAACUGAUUAUGCAACAUCACUUGGUAAUAAAGCUCGAGUUAAUAGCAACAAAGAUUGCUUUCAACCAGUUACUUUGGAAAAAUGUAUAUAACUCGAUUAGCAAAGUGGCUUUUUUUGACCUAGGCUAAAGAAUCCAAAGGUAACAGAGCAUGAUUUUCCAUAGAGGGCCAAGCACCUGUAGUUUUCAUUUACUUCAGUUGGUGUCAUGGGGGCUUCCACACUUCUGAAAAACAGAUCUCAUCUCAAGGCAUUGGCUUUCUGUUCUAAAAUAUUCAGCAUUAUAUUAAGAACAAAUGUGUACAUAUAGAAAGAUGAUUUUUAGAACAAAAUGUGCUAUGAGUGAAAUAUUUCAUCCUGAAAAACUAAACUAUUUGCAAAAUUUAUAUUCUAAAAAGGAAUUUUAAAGAGUCUAGAGCCAAGUGAAUUAUUGCACUUUAAUCAAAACGUAUUCGAACAGAUAAUCUAAUAUAGUGUGUUGUGAGAACUGUACCUCAAAUACUGAAAGCAGCAUUAAAAUUGCUUUAAUACAAACAAUGCAAGGAAAUGAGAUUACGAAGGAUUUUUUUGGAAUUGCUUUAGUGAGUAACUAAAUGCACAAGUGUUACUUGGAAAUUGCACAUUGCUAUUCAAACUAUGCUAUUAGUAUGUAAACAUUGAUCAGGUAUUUCUCUGAGAUAUACAAGCAAAAUUCAAUUAAUUUAACAAACAAACGUUGAGGUUUAAUCUAAAUAAGUAAAUGAAAAAUGUGAAUGUAGGAUUUCCUGAUGAUAGCAUGUUUAUUAAUAAACGGUCAUUCAAUUGAAUUUGAUAACAACAACUGUGUACACUAUCUUUUGCAAAUUUAAUUAUUUUGUUGAUAAUUUGCAGAGGUAAUAAAAUACAGUUAAAUAUAUUAUAAUGAUUUAUAAAGAUGAGAUAUCUUUAAAGAAUCAAAGAAGAAAUUCAGUUUUCACCACUCAAACACAGUACUUUAAUGCUUCUGGAUUAAGUAUAUAGCAUCAAAUUGCUCAAUUAUAGUGGCACAAAUCUGGAGUAGUGCCAUUCAAGUAACUAGUGACUUUCGUUUUACACCAUUGUAAUGGAGAGCAGAAUUUGGUCCCCGGGAUUUACUUUGUAAUCCACUAUACUGCAGAUUAUUUGGCCGGUUACUGCAGGCCAAAUUAUGCCCACAGGUGCCUUCCCUGCAGUUCCAUUGACGUUAAUGUGAGUAUGAAGACAGAAUUUGGUUCUGUGUUUUUUUUGAAGAAUAACCAUUUGCUGGUGCUACUUGUGAAGGGAGUGGAGGAAGAAAGAAAAUAUCCAUACUAAUUGUUUGAUUUAAGGUUGAGGUGUAAUGCUUAUUAAAAAUAUGAACCAAACUUCUGGUAUGUUCCUAUAGUCCUCACUAAUCCCAUUUAAAUACUUGGGCCUCAGUUCAGCAAAGAUUUAAGCACAUAGUGAAAUCCCCAUGACUUCAAUGCUCAAUGAAUUGAGGCCUUAAAGACCAGUGCGCAACAACGUCUGUGGUUUAGUCACAGGGAAAUGCAGUGUUCCUCCCUCAGCCCUGGUUGGGAUGCCUCAUAUCUUUAACCUAAUGAACAAGAGCACGCACACACAUCUCAGCUCCUUCUCCUCCUGCAGGUCAAGCAGGCUGACAAAUCUGUCAAGAUGUUAGUUCCCACCAAUCGCAAUGCAGGGGAUAGCCACGAUUCCAUGAAAAAUUCAAUUCCCAUGAAGGUCAGAGAUUAUCUGGAAAUUGAAGGACCUGACAGAAGCCAAAUUAUGCCUACCCCAACUCACAGUAAAGUAGUACUUUACUCUAUGACUAGUUCUAGUGAUAUGAAUUAGGGUUACCAGUGAAGUAAAAUAUGACUAGAUACAAUUAAGGGUAACCAAAUCAGACCCCAAACUGAACUCAGCCCCUGUUUAAAAAAAAAAAACUUUACAUUUUCCUGCUGAAAUUCUAGUAAUCACUUUUUUACCAAAUAUAUAAAACCUACAAAUAAGUAUAUUUGUCAAUGUAUUUAUUUUCAGGGUUUUUUUAAGCUUAAAACUAUAAACAUUUUGUUUGAUAAUUACAAUUAUUUUACUUGAUAAAAAUCUUUGUAAUAUUGUUAGUUCUAUAUAAACAUCCUAAUUUCAGUCUUGGUCCUUGGACUUCAGUGGGUGAAGGAAUGGGCCUUAAAUAGCUGUUUAAAGAUGAAAAUGAGUCUUAUGUAGAACCUGCACCAUGAAACACAUUUCUUCAUAAAUUUCUUCUACAGACAAGUGCACGUUGCUUUGGAAUCAUCCAGUUCAUCAAUGCUCACUCCAUAAAGAUUAAUAAGUUGUGGGUGCACCCUACGAAGUGAAGAAAUAAAAAUAAAGUAACUUA